AUCCAGCCACUGUUACAGUUACACACUGUUAGGAAGUUGCACAAGGUUCAUGAAAAAAAGCCACUGCCAAAACCACAAACUGCUCAGUGCUGAUGCAAUGAGAUUGUUGCUAAAAGACGGAUGCUUCUGUGUGUAUUAACAGAUUGUCAUUGGCGUAACGGGAGGAGAAAGAGCCCUGGAGACAGACAUUUGUCUGCUGACUGUCAGAUCAGAGAACACAGCGGCACGACGGAAACACUGAGCCGAGAUGCCAGCAGCAAAACAUCUGUGCUGCGCUUCCGAAGGCUGUCAUCUCUGAAGAGCAUCAUCAGAAGGAUGCUGCUCUGAUUCCCCCAGUUGCCAUGGAAACUGUUUGCCAGUUGCCAGGCGGCUUGUGCUUGUGUGCAGCUGGUUGCCUUGGAGACGGAUGCGGCGGCUUACAUAAGCAUUCAUCUGGAGUCAGGCUCGACCUCAUGAUAAAUUCAGCGCGAGUCGGAUGGAGCUGAAACAAUGUCACUGAGGCGCGGAUGAGGACAUUCAUGUGCCGCCCACGUUACUGUCAGACAAGGUCAGGAUAGUUUCCCUAGCAAUUAUGCCGAGGCUGUAUAUGCAGCAGAUGCCCAGCAGUCCCAAGGUGACAUUUCAGAUAACACAGGCUUUCUACCCCUCCUGUUCUUUAAAUGAGUAACAAUGUGGCGGCAGUUCGGAGACAAACCUUAAGGGAGCUUCAACUCAACAACACAGCCAUUCCUCCAAUCAAACUACUGCGAUUGAACAUCUGUUGGUGCAGAUGACAUAAACUCAACUGAUGACUGACUACACUAGAGUUUGAUGCCAAGUUGCAACAACAUGCAAUGCAAGUACACAAAUAUUGAGGUAUAUAUUUUUCUUUUCCCCCCAAAUUGUCCACCAUAUUUGAUGUUGUUUUGCAUUUUACUGUGCUUGUUUCAAUGCAUUAUGAACUGAAAGAACAUAGACUCCUCUUAAAACACUCCUCAAGUCAUUAGCGUGCUUAUAAUGUCUUAAAACACCACCUACUGUAUCGUUACAUAGGCAGCAUACUAACUGAAAAGAGCCCUCAUAUGGGAAAACUUGCAAAACCAAAUAAUGACUGACUUCACUUUGAAGCGAAAGCUGCAACAGCGUGCAAUGCAAAUAAACUUCGAAAAAUAUUGUUUGUGUAAUAGUUAAAUCCAACGAUGUUAGAAUAUUUUCAGCAUAAAACACACAUUUUUAA